UAGCUCAGUUGGUAGAGUAUUGUAUUAAUACUGCCAUGGUUAUGGGUUUGAUUCCCACUGAGGCCA